UACGUAGGGGGCAAGCGUUGUCCGGAUUUAUUGGGCGUAAAGAGCUUGUAGGCGGUUUGUCGCGUCUGCUGUGAAAAUCCGGGGCUCAACCCCGGACUUGCAGUGGGUACGGGCAGACUAGAGUGCGGUAGGGGAGACUGGAAUUCCUGGUGUAGCGGUGAAAUGCGCAGAUAUCAGGAGGAACACCAAUGGCGAAGGCAGCUCGCUGGGACGGUACUGACGCUGAGGCGCGAAAGCGUGGGGAGCAAACAGG
rnacentral:rRNA from 1 species